CCAGCAGUUUAUUAAUGAAAAUAAAUAAUCAAUUAUGCAAUUUUGCAAAAAAUAUGGCAUUAUGGACACCAAUAGAUGGCAUCGACUUUGGGAAGAAACGAUGAUUAAAUACAGGAGUAAAACGAAGAAAGUAUGAACGGGAAUAUUUAAGAAUUGUCAAGUUUCAGAAUGAUCCAAAUUUCAAAAGAAACACAAAGACAAGUUGCUCAGUGAGGAAAAGAAAAGAAAUGACAAAUAACGUUAGACGACUUUGUCAGCAAAAAAACUAAAAAUUUCAGAAAAGCCUCAAUUUUCGACAGCGAAAAAUGAAUUUUUUCUUUGUUCAAAAUUUUCUUCUAGUUUCCCUAAGAUGGCCUUCCAAUGCUGUUUUGUUUUAUGCUUUGUAUUCUAUCAACGUGUAUUGACCAUUUAAUCGAGAUUAAAAUAUUAAAAUAUAUUUUUGCUAAUAUCAUGAAAACUAAAGCUUGUUGGCUAAAGCCUAAAAAAAGGUUGUUGACCUUGACAAAAUAUUUCAAGAUUAUUGAAAUAAAUUUUUCAUCCUCAUCGUCUGAAACCAUAUACUUAUAUUAUUGUAU